AAAAUCGGCCAGAAGCCCCUCUCAGGUUUAUUCUCCAAAAUAAACCUUUGACUGUUGAGCCACUUUUUGUGUUUCUUUCCUCUUUCUUUAACUCUUACAUUUGGUGCUGAAAGCCAGGAUGGGUGUUGGGGAUAGAGGCUCUCUUGCAACCAAGGAAGCAGUGGACAGCAGCUGCUCAUCCCACUGGAUCCUGAGAGUCUCUGGCCACCCAUCCCAUCUUGUCUCUCACUUUACUUUUUGAGCAAUUUGCAUGAGGAGGACAACUAACCUGAAAGGGCCUGCAAGGCUCGGGCUGGGGCUACUCUCCAGUGAGCCCUCAAAACCCUCAGGUCUCAGGAAUCCACCUCUGACUGCCUGCAAUGGGUAUCAGGUAUUUCGCUUUCUCCCCUCCUCCUCCCUCAUCCUCCUCUCUAUCUCUCUCUCUCUCUCUCUGUCUCUCUCUUUCUCUCCCCACCACCCCACUUCUUGUGGCUCCAGUCCAAGAGGCCCUUUGCCAAUUCCAGCUGGAACAUCCAACAUCAGACACUAAUCCAGCUAACUGGAUCAUGGCCAUUUCACAGACAACUACCCAAAAACAUCUACAGACGACAUUACUCCUACAGUCAAUCUGAGACCAGAAAACUCUCUGUCCUCCCAUCAGCAGGAAGUAGCUAGAAAGAACAUGCCACCUCUCUUCCUUUUUAUAACUAUAGGGUCUGGAUUGACAGAGCAGGAGCAUCACCAUCUUGGACAAGCACCACCAUUUUUAAGUUCACCUUGAUCAAAAGCCGCCUAAAUCCAAAGGGCAUCAGCCUAAUGGCUAAGGUCAGCAUGACCAUAAACCACAAAUGACAUCUCCGACCAGAAACAUUCCAACCAUAAGAUAAAUCCCUCCCCGACCAGAGACAUGCCAGCCCUGAGAUAACCUCUCCUCCGACCAGAGACACUCCAACCCGCAAUAAAUUUCUCCCCCACACACAGAAACAUUCCAAGCCUGUGAUAAGCUUUCUCACCCUAAAACCAAUACUCUUAGUCUGUAAGAGAGAGCACUCCUGACAGAAAUUGGCCAGAAGCCCCUCUCAGGUUUAUUCUCCAAAAUAAACCUGACUUUAACUGUUGAGCCAUUUUUCGUGUUUCUUUCCUCUUUCUUUAAUUCUUACACUGAGGACUAAAGAAGAGAUGGCUGUCCAAGUCCACCUGGAGCCCUGAUAGCUGUCCAGCCUGUGUGCAUCACACUGCAGGCCCUGUCUGGGGUCAGUCUGAGGAUAGCUUCCCCCAAUGGUGACCCCAGGCUUUUUCACUGUGGUGGGUCCAUUUUACUACUGUUACAGGACUUCCUCUUCUCCCUGGCUGUGGACCCAUUUCCAGCUAUCACCUUUGACAAAUUGGCAAAUUCUUAAGUAACCUGAAUCUCCUCUGUAUUUGGUCAUUCCAGCUACUCCCAGUGCCCAGUAUACCCACCUCUGGCACUGGUCUUGCGGGGCCAAAGGACAAACUCUUUUUACCUUUCACCAUCAAGCCCCUGUCUACUCGUCCCUUAUGGGAGAAGCUUCAAGUGGUCCACAUGGGACCAGAUUCAGCCAACAGAUUCUAGUGCCAUAACUGAGUUUUCUGAAAGUUGUUCCUGAAAGACUGAUUAAGCUACCUUUGCAUCUUGGCCCAGUUAAAACAGCAAUUCCUACCAAGAGGAGUGCUCAGGUAAGAAGAAAGUAGAACAAUUUGAGCCACCCCAAAAAGGUGGUGAUGCCAGUUAGCAACUGCUUGACUCUAGAGAAAUGAGACCAUGUCUUAUUCCUUGCUCUGCUCCCAGAGCCUUGCGCAGGCCUGGCUCAGAGUAGGCACCAUUCAUUGACUGAAUGAACUAUUCCCAUGAGUGCUGGGAGUGUUUUCCCACCCAAAUGAUCAGUAACCCUUCCUCUUCUUCAAAUUCAGCCUUUGCUGUUGCUCAAUAAAUGUAUGUUGAAAGGAAAAAGAUGAGGGGUCAGCUCUUCAGAGGACUGAAGAAGUGAGAACAAAAUAUCCAGGCUUGUCAUAAUCUCAAGGAAAAAGCAAGUGGUGUCACUUGCUCAAGGAUGAGGAUUAAGCAAUAGGUGUGUGGAGUUGGGUCCUCAAUCGUGGGGAAGGUUCUAAACAGAUUGCCCUAGGAUCUCAGUGAGGCGUGAAGCUUAUUCAAGUUCUCACCUGCUAUUUUCCCUGUCUUCAAAACACUCCUCUAGGCUGGGCACAGUGGCUCACACCCGUAUUCCCAGCACUUUGGGAAGCCGAGGUGGAUGGAUCACUUGAACCCAGGAAUUUGAGACCAGCCUGGCCGACAUGGAGAAACCCUGUCUCUACUAAAAAUACAAAAAAAAAUUAGCCAGGCAUGGUGGUGCAUGCCUGUAGUCCCAGCUACUCAGGAGGCUGAGGAAGGAGAAUCUCUUGAACUCAGGAGGCAGAGAUUGCAGUGAGCCAAGAUCACACCUCUGCACUCCAGCCUGGGCAAUAGGGCAAGACUGUUUCACACAUACACACACACACACACACACACACACACACACACAGACACACACACACACACACAAAAGACUCCUCCACUCACCUGUGCUUCUUUUCUCUUUUACCCUUCCGCCUCUGGUUAAAUGUUAGUUCCUCAAGGAGACCUUUCCUAGCCACCAGACUAGGUCAGAGUCCUCUUUUCGUGCCCUGACAGCCAGCAUCCAGUACCUUCCAGUCACAACGCUGAUCAGAGUUUGUAACUGCAUAUUACUCUGUGUAUGUUUGUUUGCUGUCUGUUUCCCCUGUUCCCUGAAAGGCAGUGCCACUCCUGUUUUGCUCUCCAUUGUAUCCCCAGCACAGGGGCUGGCUCAUAGUUGAUAUUCAAAAACCAUCUGAUGGAGAAAGGAAUGAAUGAAUUGUAUUCUAUCAUUUAAUGCUCAGAACAAUCUUGGGUCUUCAGUGUUGUAUUUGUCUCCCUUUCACAUGAGGAAAGUGAAAAUUAGAACUCUAGGGGGACACAGAGGGGACUGGAAUCAGUUCUACUGGAUCAACAGCCCACAUCUGCCCUGCUGCCUGGGUGAAGCGGAGGGUCCAGGUUAGUGAGAAUGGGAGAGAUGCAGGGGAGACAGGAAGACAGUCAGGAAGGGCCAGGGCCAAGUCCGGAACAGUGAGGAAGGGAAAGAAGUCCAGGAUGCUGCCCAGCUGACUUCAGCCUGACCCUGGGAGUCAAGAAGGAUGGGUGAAUGGGUGUAUGUCAUUGACGUGGAGCAGGGCAAAGGGGGUGCAGACUCGACGGGCUGUGGAUUUCUUCUCAAUUAUCUUCUGAAUUAUCUUGAUGUCUUCAAGAGGCAGUGCAAUCCUAGUUAAAAGAUGAAUUCCAGAGGCUGGCUCUGCUUCUGCUCUCAACCUGCUGUGUGAACUUAAACAAGUGAUUAAACAUCUCUGUGCCU
rnacentral:lncRNA from 1 species